rnacentral:rRNA from 1 species
GCUACGGGAGGCAGCAGUGAGGAAUAUUGGUCAAUGGCCGCAGGGCUGAACCAGCCAAGUCGCGUGAGGGAUGACGGGCCUAUGGAUUGUAAACCUCUUUUGUCAGGGAGCAAAGGGCGCCACGUGUGGCGUUUUGCGAGUACCUGAAGAAAAAGCAUCGGCUAACUCCGUGCCAGCAGCCGCGGUAAUACGGAGGAGGCGAGCGUUAUCCGGAUUUAUUGGGUUUAAAGGGUGCGUAGGCGGUUCGAUAAGUUAGAGGUGAAAUCCCGGGGCUCAACCCCGGCACUGCCUCUGAUAAUGUCGGGCUAGAGUUUAGUUGCGGUAGGCGGAAUGUAUGGUGUAGCGGUGAAAUGCAUAGAGAUCAUACAGAACACCGAUUGCGAAGGCAGCUUACCAAACUACGACUGACGUGGAGGCACGAAAGCGUGGGGAGCAAACAGGAUUAGAUACCCUAGUAGUC